GAUGAACGCUAGCGGCAGGCCUAACACAUGCAAGUCGAGGGGCAGCACGUCUUCGGAUGGUGGCGACCGGCGCACGGGUGCGUAACGCGUAUGCAACCUACCUCUUACAGUGGGAUAGCCCAGAGAAAUUUGGAUUAAUACCGCAUAGUAUGCGACAUCAGCAUUGAUGACGUAUUAAACAUUCAUGGGUAAGAGAUGGGCAUGCGUUCUAUUAGUUAGUUGGAGUGGUAACGGCACCCCAAGACAGCGAUAGAUAGGGGCCCUGAGAGGGGGAUCCCCCGACACCUGGUACUGAGACACGGACCAGACUCCUACGGGAGGCAGCAGUGAGGAAUAUUGGACAAUGGGCGGAGCCUGAUCCAGCCAUGCCGCGUGCAGG
rnacentral:rRNA from 1 species